ensembl:snRNA U6 U6 spliceosomal RNA
CUGCUGGCUUCGGCAGCACAUAUACUAAAACUGGAACAGUACAGAAAACUAGCACGGCCCUUGCACAAGGAUGACACGGAACAGGAUCCACAAUUCA